GAUGAAGAACGUAGCAAAAUGCGAUAAGUAAUGUGAAUUGCAGAAUUCAGUGAAUCAUCGAAUCUUUGAACGCACAUUGCGCCCGCCAGUAUUCUGGCGGGCAUGCUUGUUCGAGCGUCAUUUCAACCCUCAAGCACAGCUUGGUGUUGGGACUCGCGUUAAUUCGCGUUCCUCAAAUUGAUUGGCGGUCACGUCGAGCUUCCAUAGCGUAGUAGUAAAACCCUCGUUACUGGUGAUCGUCGCGGCCACGCCGUUAAACCCCAACUUCUGAAUGUUGACCUCGGAUCAGGUAGGAAUACCCGCUGAACUUAAGCAUAUCAAUAAGCGGAGGA
rnacentral:misc_RNA from 1 species